rnacentral:rRNA from 1 species
GCCGUGGCGGCAGCUUACACAUGCAGUCGAACGAUGACUAUCUAGCUUGCUAGAGAUAGAUUAGUGGCGGACGGGUGAGUAACAUUUAGGAAUCUGCCUAGUAGUGGGGGAUAGCUCGGGGAAACUCGAAUUAAUACCGCAUACGACCUACGGGUGAAAGGGGGCGCAAGCUCUUGCUAUUAGAUGAGCCUAAAUCAGAUUAGCUAGUUGGUGGGGUAAAGGCCCACCAAGGCGACGAUCUGUAACUGGUCUGAGAGGAUGAUCAGUCACACCGGAACUGAGACACGGUCCGGACUCCUACGGGAGGCAGCAGUGGGGAAUAUUGGACAAUGGGGGCAACCCUGAUCCAGCCAUGCCGCGUGUGUGAAGAAGGCCUUUUGGUUGUAAAGCACUUUAAGCAGGGAGGAGAGGCUAAUGGUUAAUACCCAUUAGAUUAGACGUUACCUGCAGAAUAAGCACCGGCUAACUCUGUGCCAGCAGCCGCGGUAAUACAGAGGGUGCGAGCGUUAAUCGGAAUUACUGGGCGUAAAGCGAGUGUAGGUGGCUCAUUAAGUCACAUGUGAAAUCCCCGGGCUUAACCUGGGAACUGCAUGUGAUACUGGUGGUGCUAGAAUAUGUGAGAGGGAAGUAGAAUUCCAGGUGUAGCGGUGAAAUGCGUAGAGAUCUGGAGGAAUACCGAUGGCGAAGGCAGCUUCCUGGCAUAAUAUUGACACUGAGAUUCGAAAGCGUGGGUAGCAAACAGGAUUAGAUACCCUGGUAGUCCACGCCGUAAACGAUGUCUACUAGCCGUUGGGGUCCUUGAGACUUUAGUGGCGCAGUUAACGCGAUAAGUAGACCGCCUGGGGAGUACGGCCGCAAGGUUAAAACUCAAAUGAAUUGACGGGGGCCCGCACAAGCGGUGGAGCAUGUGGUUUAAUUCGAUGCAACGCGAAGAACCUUACCUGGUCUUGACAUAGUGAGAAUCCUGCAGAGAUGCGGGAGUGCCUUCGGGAAUUCACAUACAGGUGCUGCAUGGCUGUCGUCAGCUCGUGUCGUGAGAUGUUGGGUUAAGUCCCGCAACGAGCGCAACCCUUUUCCUUGUUUGCCAGCGGGUUAAGCCGGGAACUUUAAGGAUACUGCCAGUGACAAACUGGAGGAAGGCGGGGACGACGUCAAGUCAUCAUGGCCCUUACGACCAGGGCUACCCACGUGCUAA